AAGAAAGUGCGAUCAGAGCACUAAAAAGCACUAAAGUGUAAUGCUUUUUCCAUUGAAGAGUGUAACUUUCAGACCCUUUCCUGGACCAUUUCUGGACGAGAGCAGCUUAUAUAAGAAGCAGAACUUUCAAUCGAUGUUAUAUUCAAAAUGUGGACGUCGUAUAUAUACCUACUUGCCUGAGGAUAACGUGAGAUUGUAUCAAUUUCAUGAAAUUCCAGAAAAUUUGGUAAAAUAACGAAAUAAAUUGAAUGUUUCUUA